AAGUCGUAACAAGGUUUCCGUAGGUGAACCUGCGGAAGGAUCAUUAUCCUUAGCGUAAUAUUACUAUUAAUAUUACAAGCGCUAGUGCACUCAUGUGUCAAGCGUUAAAAUUCACAUUCAGCAUGGGCUUUACCGCCUAUGUUGGAUAAUGAAAAAUCCAUGUUUAGCUUUAAACAUGGUCGGGUACCUAUGCGUUUGCGUCUAUGCUUGUCAUACGAUGCUCAUGUCAUAAGCGGUAAUAGCUAUUACCGUGUGGCUUAAUGAUUAUUCAACUCUAUUUGAAUAACGCCCGUUCUAGCAAUGAAUAUUAUCUUAUACUAUUUAUUUAAAUCGCAUUUAUUUUUGUAUUGUGAACUAUCUAAUGCCUAAGCAAUUAAGCAUAUGAAUAAACACAAAUACAACCCUAUGCGGUGGAUCACUUGGCUC
rnacentral:misc_RNA from 1 species